UUAAACUCAGAGGAAUAAAUGAACUCCAUUUCAACAAGGCCAAGUGCCGGGUCCUGCACGUGGGGGACAACAACCCCAGGCAGCCCUACAAGCUGGGAGAUGAGUGGUUAGAAAGCUGCCUGGCAGAGAAGGACCUGGGAGUACUGGUUGA